UGUACACGCUGUGACUAGCAUAUCAAUAAGCGGAGGAAAAGAAACUAACAAGGAUUCCCCUAGUAACGGCGAGUGAAGCGGGAAGAGCUCAAAUUUGAAAUCUUAAAGGGUUUCCCUUUACGAAUUGUAGUUUAAAGAAGUGUUUUCUGUUGAGGUCUUGGUAAAAGUUCUUUGGAAUAGGACAUCAUAGAGGGUGAGAAUCCCGUAUUUGACCUUUACUUUCAACUUUGUGAUACACUUUCAAAGAGUCGGAUUGUUUGGGAAUGCAGUCCAAAAUGGGUGGUAAAUUUCAUCUAAAGCUAAAUAUUGGCGAGAGACCGAUAGCGAACAAGUACCGUGAGGGAAAGAUGAAAAGAACUUUGAAAAGAGAGUUAAACAGUACGUGAAAUUGUCAAAAGGGAAGCGUUUGACACCAGUGUUGUUUUUCUGAAAAUCAAUUAAAGAACUGUUUAUGCUAAGCUGUUUAGACUUUAUCAGCUAAUCUGUUUAGUUUUGAGCUUUUCUUUAAUGCACUUUUCAGUUAACAAGUCAACAUCAAUUUCUUUUGCUGUAAAAAAGCUUGAGGAAGGUGGCUUGAGAUUCGUCUUAAGUGUUUAUAGCCUCUUGCCUAUGCAGUCGGAGAGAUUGAGGUCUGCAGCGUAGAUCCUUCGGGGCUAAAUGCAUUUGUGCUAAGUUAUAGCAUUUUAUAGACAACUUGUUGACUAUGAUUUGUCUUGUAGCUUACUCGCUUAUGUUAUUUUACCUACGCUUAGGAUGUUGAAGAUGUAGCACAUCAU
rnacentral:rRNA from 1 species